rnacentral:rRNA from 1 species
UGGGGAAUAUUGCACAAUGGAGGGAACUCUGAUGCAGCGACGCCGCGUGAAUGAAGAAGGCUUUCGAGUCGUAAAGUUCUUUUAUAUGGGAAGAUAAUGACGGUACCAUAAGAAAAAGCCCCGGCUAACUACGUGCCAGCAGCCGCGGUAAUACGUAGGGGGCUAGCGUUGUCCGGAAUCACUGGGCGUAAAGGGUUCGCAGGCGGAAAUGCAAGUCAGGUGUAAAAGGCAGUAGCUUAACUACUGUAAGCAUUUGAAACUGCAUAUCUUGAGAAGAGUAGAGGUAAGUGGAAUUUUUAGUGUAGCGGUGAAAUGCGUAGAUAUUAAAAAGAAUACCGGUGGCGAAGGCGGCUUACUGGGCUCAUUCUGACGCUGAGGAACGAAAGCGUGGGUAGCAAACAGG